GUAACAGAGGGUCUGAUUCUGGCUCAGAUUGAACGCUGGCGGGAUGCUUUACACAUGCAAGUCGAACGGCAGCACGGACUUCGGUCUGGUGGCGAGUGGCGAACGGGUGAGUAAUGUAUCGGAACGUGCCUAGUAGCGGGGAUAACUACGUGAAAGCGGUAGCUAAUACCGUAUACGCCCUUCGGGGAAAGCGGGGGACCUUCGGGCCUCGCACUAUUAGAGCGGCCGAUAUCGGAUUAGCUUAAGUUGGUGGGGUAACGGCUCACUGCGACGAUCCGUAGCUGGUUUGAGAGGACGACCAGCCACACUGGGACUGAGACACGGCCCAGACUCCUACGGGAGGCAGCAGUGGGGAAUUUUGGACAAUGGGGAAACCCUGAUCCAGCCAUCCUGCGUGCGCGAUGAAGGCCUUCGGGUUGUAAAGCACUUUUGGCAGGAAAGAAACGGCACGGGAUAAUACCCCGUGCAACUGACGGUACCUGCAGAAUAAGCACCGGCUAACCACGUGCCAGCAGCCGCGGUAAUACGUAGGGUGCAAGCGUUAAUCGGAAUUACUGGGCGUAAAAGCGUGCGCAGGCGGUUCGGAAAGAAAGAUGUGAAAUCCCAGAGCUUAACUUUGGAACUGCAUUUUUAACUACCGAGCUAGAGUGUGUCAGAGGGGAGGUGGAAUUCCGCGUGUAGCAGUGAAAUGCGUAGAUAUGCGGAGGAACACCGAUGGCGAAGGCAGCCUCCUGGGAUAACACUGACGCUCAUGCACGAAAGCGUGGGGAGCAAACAGAUUAGAUACUCCUGGUAGUCCACGCCCUAAAACGAUGUCAACUAGCUGUUGGGGCCUUCGGGCCUUGGUAGCGCAGCUAACGCGGUGAAGUUGACCGCCUGGGGAGUACGGUCGCAAGAUUAAAAACUCAAAGGAAUUGACGGGACCCGCACAAGCGGUGGAUGAUGUGGAUUAAUUCGAUGCAACGCGAAAAACCUUACCUACCCUUGACAUGUCUGAAUCCCGAAGAGAUUUGGGAGUGCUCGCAAGAGAACCGGAACACAGGUGCUGCAUGGCUGUCGUCAGCUCGUGUCGUGAGAUGUUGGGUUAAGUCCCGCAACGAGCGCAACCCUGUCAUUAGUUGCUACGAAAGGGCACUCUAAUGAGACUGCCGGUGACAAACCGGAGGAAGGUGGGGAUGACGUCAAGUCCUCAUGGCCCUUAUGGGUAGGGCUUCACACGUCAUACAAUGGUCGGGACAGGGUCGCCAACCCGCGAGGGGGAGCCAAUCCCAGAAACCCGAUCGUAGUCCGGAUCGCAGUCUGCAACCUCGACUGCGUGAAGUCGGAGUCGCUAGUAAUCGCGGAUCAGCAUGUCGCGGUGAAUACGUUCCGGUCUUGUACACACCGCCCGUCACACCAUGGGAGUGGGUUUUACCAGAAGUAGUUAGCCUAACCGUAAGGAGGGCGAUUACCACGGUAGGAUUCAUGACUGGGGUGAAGUCGUAACAAGGUAA
rnacentral:rRNA from 1 species